rnacentral:rRNA from 1 species
UACGUAGGGUGCGAGCGUUGUCCGGAAUUAUUGGGCGUAAAGAGCUCGUAGGCGGUGUGUCACGUCGGCCGUGAAAACCUGGGGCUUAACUCUGGGCGUGCGGUCGAUACGGGCAUCACUAGAGUUCGGCAGGGGAGACUGGAAUUCCUGGUGUAGCGGUGAAAUGCGCAGAUAUCAGGAGGGAACACCGGUGGCGGAAGGCGGGUCUCUGGGCCGAUACUGACGCUGGAGGAGCG